GCUGGGCGUGGUGGCACAUGCCUGUAAUCCUAGCGGUUUGGGAGGCUGAGAUAGGAGGAUAGUGAGUUCAAAGCCAGCCUCAGCAAUUUAGAGAGGUGCUAAGCAACUCAGUGAGACCCUGUCUCCA
rnacentral:sRNA from 1 species